GAGACCAGAAAGUUUUCGAAACUGCGUGAGUGGAAGUCUGCGUUGGACAAAUUUUGAAAAUAUCUGAAGGUUUAACGAAUUUUGGAGAAUUCGACAGAGCUACAGACUACGAAACCUUUCGAAACGAACACACGUGUCCUGUUGAACUUGAAAAAAGACGAAAUUAUUUUUAAAAAGAUCAUGGUAACUCGUGAAGCAACAUCUCAGAAUUGAAUCGGGGAACGAGGAAUCAAAAAAAGGUUAACAAUUUGGAUCAUUUUGGAAGAUACAUACGCCGCGCUUUUCAAAGCGGACAGACGUGCCCUUGUCCAACUGAAACGAACACACGUGUCCUGUUGAACUUGAAAAAAGACGAAAUUAUUUUAAAAAGAUCAUGGUAACUCGUGAAGCAACAUCUCAGAAUUGAAUCGGGGAGUUGUGUAUUUGCUGGCAAUCCGGGCCUGCUUGGAUCAUUUUGGAAGAUACAUACGCCUGCGCUUUUCAAAGCGGACAGACGUGCCCGUGUCCCACUUGACAAAGGCGGAAUUAUUUUAGGAAAGACCAUGGCAACUAGUAAAGCAGAAUCCGAGAAUUCAAUCGGCGGCUGUAUGUUGACUGACAAGAAUAUAAUUGCUGUUAAUCCGGCCCUGCUUCUUGUACAAAUGCAUAGUGGGGAGACAUGAACAUUUUUCGAAAUUGCGGCCCUAUCCUCUUGGGAUUCUACGUUGGACAAAUUCUGAAAACGACCCAGAAAUAUAAUUGGAGGUUCAAACCCGUGCGAGGUGAGGUUUGAUAUAUGAAACAGACCAGUCAUGGGGACACGAGAUAUGGAAAGUUUCAGCGUAGUCGUCGCCACAUUGCUGCCAACACUGCAUAUAUAAGGAAUCACGAACCAUUCAGGUAAAAUUUUGAAAACACAUAGUUAUGGCAAUAUAGAACCUCUCUUUUUUUAACAGGAAUAUUGAGACUUAGACCAGUAUCUUUUAAGUAGGCAUGUGGGGUAAAGAAGACGCAGAAGCUUCAGUCGGGUACCAUCGGUAACGUAGGCGAUUGAUAUAUUUCCACCACUACCUAUGUUGGAUUGGAAUUUCCCAUUUGAUGCUUUGACUGACUAAAUGAGGAAACUUGGAGAUAUUAUUGGUGGUGCCUGCCAGCUUCCAGUUCCGAGAAAAGAAAUCCAACACUUUUCGUCUUUAUUUCCCCUGUCCUUUGUGCGCAAUAAAAGUACAGUUUGUACCCGCGUGGGUACACAUUCGCAGAAUUAUAUGUUUUUAAAAUAAAUGUUUUGGUCAAUAUUCACUAGGUGGGGUUACCUUAUUAAAGAAAAUCUUAUUCCAAGAGGGGACACUAGUUUACAUUCGAACCGCUAGAGGGUGCAGAUGGUCACGCGAACAAUAUGAUCAAGUCUCAUUGACGCCAUUGCUUUUCUUAGGGGUGGGAAAAUAUCUGGGCUCUGAUUGGCUUCGCCGCCAUCGCAAACUAGAGGUGGGGAGAUUGAUUAAACCGCAUUUCUGGUUGCUUAUCCAAUGGGGACCAGUUUCAAGGGAUUAUGGGUAAAGGCGGAGGAGCUAGAGAGUCGUGGGGAAGGAG